CGGGGUUGGGGUGGAAGGCACCCAACCAACUGCAUGGGUUAGCUCCUUUUAAGCAUGGCAUGAGGAAGCCACCAAGUGGGCAGCUUUGUUACAUGAUAAUAUCCAGAGAAAGAACCGGUGAACUCGAAGUUCAUUGCAAACGCGUUAAUGCUAAAAAUAUAAGAAAAUAUCCUCACUCAUGUUACAAUUACUAGGCAUGGACUUCUAAUAUCU